UGGGGAAUAUUGCACAAUGGGCGCAAGCCUGAUGCAGCCAUGCCGCGUGUAUGAAGAAGGCCUUCGGGUUGUAAAGUACUUUCAGUCGGGAGGAAGGUGUCAAGGUUAAUAACCUUGGCAAUUGACGUUACCGACAGAAGAAGCACCGGCUAACUCCGUGCCAGCAGCCGCGGUAAUACGGAGGGUGCAAGCGUUAAUCGGAAUUACUGGGCGUAAAGCGCACGCAGGCGGUUGAUUGAGUCAGAUGUGAAAUCCCCGGGCUUAACCCGGGAAUUGCAUCUGAGACUGGUCAGCUAGAGUCUUGUAGAGGGGGGUAGAAUUCCAUGUGUAGCGGUGAAAUGCGUAGAGAUGUGGAGGAAUACCGGUGGCGAAGGCGGCCCCCUGGACAAAGACUGACGCUCAGGUGCGAAAGCGUGGGGAGCAAACAGG
rnacentral:rRNA from 1 species